CAUGUCAGAUCCCUCAAUCUGAGGCUUCCUCCUAAAGUCAAUGUAUGAAGGCUAUUAAAGUAUGUCUUCCUUGAGAUCAUUGAGUUGCCCAGACCUCCACCUGCAUCAUGUGCUUCUAUCUCUUCCAUUACAACAUUAACACCCAACUCUUCUGAAUUUCUUCCACCAAUUAUAACCAUAUCUUCUAGAUUCUUCAUAUUUGCCAACCACCAAAUGUUGAGAGAUUGUUUACUUGGAAACAAAUUAAGCCAUAGAGCUCGAGUACAGUUGACUAAUGUGUGGGUGUUGACAUAACUCUGGAGAUCUGAGACACUUCUUAUUGUACUGCUCAAUUCAUUCAAGUGUUCCAAACAUUGUA
rnacentral:misc_RNA from 1 species